GACGAACGCUGGCGGCGUGCUUAACACAUGCAAGUCGAACGGAAAGGCUCCAGCUUGCUGGAGUACUCGAGUGGCGAACGGGUGAGUAACACGUGGGUAAUCUGCCCUGCACUCUGGGAUAAGCCUGGGAAACUGGGUCUAAUACUGGAUAUGACCUUUCUCCUUAUGGGGUUUGGUGGAAAGUUUUUCGGUGUAGGAUGAGCCCGCGGCCUAUCAGCUUGUUGGUGGGGUGAUGGCCUACCAAGGCGACGACGGGUAGCCGGCCUGAGAGGGUGAUCGGCCACAUUGGGACUGAGAUACGGCCCAGACUCCUACGGGAGGCAGCAGUGGGGAAUAUAGCACAAUGGGCGGAAGCCUGAUGCAGCGACGCCGCGUGAGGGAUGACGGCCUUCGGGUUGUAAACCUCUUUCAGCAGGGACGAAGCGUAAGUGACGGUACCUGCAGAAGAAGCACCGGCUAACUAUGUG
rnacentral:rRNA from 1 species